AUCUUAAUGAACACUACAUUUCUCACAUCUAUUCCUUUACUUCAUAGCCACUCAGGGAGUAACAUAACAUGCACAAUAAUAGCUCAAGAUUUUGGACAAGCAGCGUACAUGAUUUCGAAGGCUUCCAGGUUAUGACAGUCUUAGGAAGACGACAAAAGAUAAAAGACAAAGAAAAAUUCUCAAAUGGCUUGAAAUCGCUAAGUUAGGACAACCGACGCAAACA